rnacentral:lncRNA from 1 species
GCUGUGAGAGGCGAUCACACAGCCUCCUCUGUUUCAAUCCCAUGGGGAGUGACACUGUGUUGAAAGAGCCAUAUGGUGGCUGGAUGGUUUCAUGUCUUUGAUGCUGUAUGGCUGCCAUGUUAGGGUUCCUGGUCUGUCAAGGUGUGACUAGCUGUUGUCCAGUGCUUCUGUCAUCCGAGAGGAGCCACCGAAGCUGACAUGCCUCCUCGGCCAUGAUGGACUGAUGAUCCCCAGUACUUGGAAAUAACCCCUUCUUCACUUCAGUUGUCCCUCAGUGCCCACAAAGGCCAGAAGAGGGCAUUGGAACCCCUGGAACUGGAGUUACAGACAAUUGUG